UGAGUAACGUCAAGGAAUGAAACCAAGCAUUUAAACAGAAAUCAAUCGUCAACAAUUAAUAUAGUCAAUCAUCUAGCAACUAGACUAACUUCGUACGAUAGUCCAAAACUGCGAUCGACAACACAUAUAAGCAAGGGCUGACAGUGUGACCAUCCAAAAACAUGGAUACAAUCCAUAAAAAAACGAGUAAAAAUGGGAUAAAUAAAGGAUUCAAUAAGGUGAAUACUCUCGAGGAAUUCUACGCUGGUAAUGGGAUCCUUGUGACUGGAGGAACCGGAUUCGUGGGAAUCGGUCUACUGGAAAAACUGAUACGCGUGUGUCCACGCGUCGCUGCUAUUUUUGUACUAAUUCGCCCAAAGACUAACGAAACCAUAGAACAACGAUUUAAGAAGCUCAUAGAUGAUCCUAUCUACGACGACAUAAAAGCAAAAUACCCCUCAGCAUUGAGCAGAGUUUAUCCCAUGAAAGGUGACGUGAGUCUGCCGGAUUUAGGUCUUUCGCGAGAAGAUAGAAAUCUGUUGUUGGAGAAAGUAAAUAUAGUGUUUCACGCCGCGGCCACUGUGAGAUUCGACGAACCGUUGCACGUGGCUGUUAAUGUGAAUACGAAUGGUACUGCUCGUGUCAUCGAGCUUUGGAACGAACUAAGGCAUCCAAUUAGCUUCGUUCACGUUAGCACAGCUUUUAGUAAUGCGAAUCUACAUGAGAUCGGGGAAAAAGUUUACACCACGAGCUUGAAACCUUCGGAAGUAAUAGAUAUGUGUGGCAAAUUCGACAAAACGUCAAUCAACCAAAUAGAAAAAAGAAUUUUAAAAACUUACCCAAACACAUACACAUUCAGUAAGAAUUUAGCAGAGCAGAUUGUAGCGAGCAAGUGCAAAGAUCAGCCAUUUGCGAUAGUACGGCCAAGCAUAAUUGGUGCCUCUUUGGAAGAACCAUGUCCUGGUUGGAUAGAGAAUAUUUCUGCAUUAACAAGUGUCAUGGUCCUAAUCAUGAGAGGAAGUGUAACAAUAAUACGGGGUAGGAAAGAUGCAAGAUUGGAUGUAGUACCUGUCGAUUUGGUAGUCGAUACGAUAAUCUGUGCCGCAUGGCAUGUUACGCUACAUCGUGACCGUGAAGUUAAAGUUUACAACUGCACGAGUAACGCUAAUCCUUUUAGGUGGGGUCAGAUGCAACAGCUCGUGUUGGAACAUGGCAGAGAAAUGCCACUGAACGAUACGCUAUGGUACCCGGGUUGUAUAAUGACAAAUAAUAAAUAUAUUUUUAACGCUCUGAGUGUAAUUCCGUAUGUUUUGCCUGCGUACAUCAUAGAUAUCUUUUUAAGACUCCGAGGUAGUAAACCAAUACUGAUGAAACUUCUAAAACUUGGCAACAAGCUGUUCACAUCGGUGACAUAUUUCACCAUGAACGAAUGGACUUUUCAAAGGGAUAACUGUUCCGACUUGGCGAGGAAGGUGAAAAUGUUGAGCGACAGCGAUAUGGUCAAACUAGAUAUGCGGGAUAUCGAUUGGGAGAAGUAUGUUACAAUUUACGUGAUGGGAAUUAGGAAAUUUAUUUUAAAACAAAAGUUUAAGUCAACAGCCCGACAACGAUUACUAAGGUUGUACUGGAUACAUCAGAUCACCAAAAUAUUCGGUAUAAUAAUUUUGCUAUGGAUAAUAUUAUAUUUAGUGUACUGACUAUUUGAAUGUUACUUUUUUCGCUUCGAACCAAGAACAAUAUAAAUAGAAUUUUAUAAAGAA